rnacentral:rRNA from 1 species
CCUACGGGUGGCAGCAGUGAGGAAUAUUGGUCAAUGGACGAGAGUCUGAACCAGCCAAGCAGCGUGAAGGAUGACUGCCCUAUGAGUUGUAAACUUCUUUUGUACGGGGAUAAACUGUUACACGUGUGGGUUUUUGUAUGUACCAUAUGAAUAAGGAUCGGCUAACUCCGUGCCAGCAGCCGCGGUAAUACGGAGGAUUCAAGCGUUAUCCGGAUUUAUUGGGUUUAAAGGGAGCGUAGGUGGUUUGUUAAGUCAGUUGUGAAAGUUUGCGGCUCAACUGUGAAAUUGCCGUUGAAACUGGCAGUCUAGAGAACAGUAGAGGUAGGCGGAAUGCAUGGUGUAGCGGUGAAAUGCUUAGAGAUCACAAAGAACUCCGAUUGCGAAGGCAGUUUACUAGGCUGCAACUGACGUUGAGGCUCGAAAGUGUGGGUAGCAAACAGGAUUAGAUACCCCUGUAGUC